rnacentral:rRNA from 1 species
UACAGAGACUGCGAGCGUUAUUCGGAUUCACUGGGCGUAAAGGGUGCACAGGCGGCCGAGUGUGUGAGGCGUGAAAGCCCGGGGCUUAACCCCGGAAUUGCACCUCAAACUACACGGCUAGAGCAUUGGAGAGGGUAGCAGAAUUCACGGUGUAGCAGUGAAAUGCGUAGAUAUCGUGAGGAAUACCAGAGGCGAAGGCGGCUACCUGGACAAUUGCUGACGCUCAGGCACGAAAGCCGUGGGGAGCAAAAGGG